UAGGUUUGUCCUAAGUCAAACUUCCUUAGGUUUGACCUAGGUUAUAGAAAAAAUUACUAAUAUCCACAAAACUAAAUAUAAAAUUACAUAUAGUCUGAAAAUAUACAUUAUGAUGAAUCUAAUGAAACUAAUUUGGUGUUUUGGAUGCUGGUAUAUUUUUAUGUAGACUUGGUCAAACCUAAGGAAGUUUGACUUAGGACUGAACUGUA
rfam:Triticum urartu cultivar G1812 contig472915, whole genome shotgun sequence.